ensembl:lncRNA
GUGCUAAAUAUGUUGGACUGCUAUUGCAACAUCUGUCUUUGUGACUCAGGGAGGCUGUUUAUACUAAAAUAUAUGUUCCUUUAAAAUACAGAAAAGAGGAUAAAUAUGUUUUUUAAAGAUUAGGGGUCUCCAUUGAACAUACUUUUUCCAGGACUAGGCCGCCCCCAUAUGUUUUGUUGAUGAUAAUAAAGUAUUUAGAUUUACAGGAAAAUACUGUAUGUCAGUGUAUUACAUGACAUUAAUUUUGAUAUAAUGUUACCUACCUAAUGGCAUCAUCUGAACUCCUUUUGAAAUAAUCUUGCCCUCCAGGCAUUCUGAUCUUCAGCUGUUACAAAUAUUCCCAGAAUAUUGUAUUUACUUAACAGUUUUUGAGUUGAAGAAUCUGCACUGUAAAAAUGUCCCUUCUUAAUUACAGCACAAUUAUUUGCAGAGUUGCCAGAUUAAUACUGUAAUUUAGCUUUACAGCAGAGAUUUUCCUUCCUGUAAAACAUGUUACAGUAUUCCUGCUGUAAAUGUGGGCACCUGAUUCCAUGGCAGAAUUUAGUGGAUGUGUCAUGGUUGAUUGAUAGAGUGAAUAUGCCCACUGAAUCUCAAGCCAUAUCUUAAAGCAAUAACAAUAAGGAAGAUAUGUCGACCUCUGCAUUCAGGACCACGAGUAGGAGAAAGUCCUUUCGAGAAAUGAGGAGCUACGUUGAACUUUUGAAUCCUGUUUUGUAUGUGCUGACACUUGGAGAGUGAGAAAGGUUGAAUUGAAUAAAAUAGUGUUAUUUUUGUGAGUAUGCAGACUCCCUUAGGGAGUUGUUGAUUUCCCACAUUAGUGAAAUGCAUGUCUGUUUCCUCAGCUUGUUAUGGAGGAAUUAGGAGUUUCUGGCUUGCUGUUCUAUCAGUCCCUCAGCACAGCUCCCACUUUGGCUCCACCCAGCCCUCCUGACCCAGACGAGCCAGUGCUGCUCAUAGUGUGUGUAACCCUUGCUGUGGUUUUGGUGGUGGUUUCUCUGGAGAUUUACUAUGGCUUCCAACGCCACAGGUAGUAUAAACCCUAGAGGGUGUCUCACACACAGGACAGUCAAUGGACCUAUUCAAAUACCUAUUCCAAUACAUGUGUUGCUCCUUCUUUCCAUUGAGGAAAUCCACUUCGAUUAAAGCAAUGGGGAACGCACGUUUUCACUCUUGUACUGAUCAGUGAUUACCUCAGGGAAGGGAGGAAAGAAAGCAUCCAUUUUAGAGGUAUUCACUCACUGCGCAGAUGUAACAUGGUUCUAAGUCUCUUCGUUUCCAUCAGUGCUAAGAAAAACAGAACUGACGUCACCAGGAGACAUGGGUCCAUGAGGAUGAGUCCCGAAGUAAGGCUUAAAUCCUUCUCAUUUUAAACACCUAUCUGUUGUUUUCUAUUUCAAUUCCAUUUUGAUGCAUGCCCCUCUUUGCAGGGACUGGCUGGAACAUAGGCGUGUUUGUCUGCACAGGAUGUGCAUCUGCAUGCAAAUGUAUUGGCUGAAGCCCAGUAGCAACAUAUUCCAAAUGGCACCCUAUUCCCUAUUUAGUGAAACUAUUUUGACCAGAGCCCUAUGAGUCCUGGUCAAAAUGAGUGUACUAUAAAGGGAAUAGGGUGCCAUUUCUAACACAACCAUAAUUUCAACAGAGUCUGAAGUUAAGUAUAACAUCAGUCUGUCUGCAAUAAACAUUUUGAGCAGCGAAAUCAGACAGGAGUUUUUAUGUAUUGUAACUCCACUAGGGGGAGCCAAGCAUGCAAGAGAGACUUCAGGGGCCUCAUCGAUGAGAACCAUUUCCUUUGCCUCUAAGGUCUUUUCUAUUAGAUAGGAUUUUGCGACACUGCUUGUUCAAUACCACAAAAUUAAAACAAUAGACGUGAGCCAUCGGCAAAGAAAAC